CACGCUGUAAACGAUGAUCACUCGCUGUUGGCGAUAUACAGUCAGUGGCUAAGCGAAAGUGAUAAGUGAUCCACCUGGGGAGUACGACCGCAAGGUUGAAACUCAAAGGAAUUGACGGGGGCCCGCACAAGCGGAGGAGCAUGUGGUUUAAUUCGAUGAUACGCGAGGAACCUUACCAGGGCUCGAACGUUCAGCGAUUUACCGUGAAAGCGGUAUUCCCUUCGGGGCGAUGAACGAGGUGC
rnacentral:rRNA from 1 species